UACGAGGGGUGCAAGCGUUGCUCGGAAUUAUUGGGCGUAAAGGGCAAGUAGGUGGUCUCAUUUGUCUGGGGUGAAAGCCUUGAGCUUAACUCAAGAAGUGCCCCGGAAACGGUGAGACUCGAGUAUUGGAGAGGGUCGUGGAAUUCCCGGUGUAGCGGUGAAAUGCGUAGAGAUGUGGAGGAAUACCGAUGGCGAAGGCAGCCCCCUGGGCCAAUACUGACGCUCAUGCACGAAAGCGUGGGGAGCAAACAGG
rnacentral:rRNA from 1 species